rnacentral:tRNA from 1 species
GUUCUUGUAGUUGAGGAAACAACGAUGGUUUUUCAGGCCAUAAGUCUUGGUUAAGCCCAAGUGAGAACG